UACAGAGGGGGCAAGCGUUGUUCGGAAUUACUGGGCGUAAAGGGCGCGUAGGCGGCCUUCUAAGUCGAACGUGAAAUCCCCGGGCUCAACCCGGGAACUGCGUCCGAUACUGGAAGGCUUGAAUCCGGGAGAGGGAUGCGGAAUUCCAGGUGUAGCGGUGAAAUGCGUAGAUAUCGGGAGGAACACCAGUGGCGAAGGCGGCGAUCUGGGAAGAUACUGACGCUCAUGGGCGAAAGCGUGGGGAGCAAACCGGG
rnacentral:rRNA from 1 species